UCGUACAACCGAGGUGCAAAGGCUGUCGCUGACCCUCAAAGGUCGUGCACGCCCGAGCGCUCUCACACAAUCCAUCUCACCUUUGUGCAUCACCGCGUGGGUCCUCCCCUUUGCGGGGGAGGGCUUGCGUCUUCACAUAAAACUCGAUACAGUGUAGAAUGUUUCUUUUUUUGCGGUCACACGCAAUCAAUA
rnacentral:misc_RNA from 1 species